rnacentral:rRNA from 1 species
UGGGGAAUAUUGGACAAUGGGCGCAAGCCUGAUCCAGCCAUGCCGCGUGAGUGAUGAAGGCCCUAGGGUUGUAAAGCUCUUUCACCGGUGAAGAUAAUGACGGUAACCGGAGAAGAAGCCCCGGCUAAUUUCGUGCCAGCAGCCGCGGUAAUACGAAGGGGGCUAGCGUUGUUCGGAUUUACUGGGCGUAAAGCGCACGUAGGCGGACUAUUAAGUCAGGGGUGAAAUCCCGGGGCUCAACCCCGGAACUGCCUUUGAUACUGGUAGUCUUGAGUUCGAGAGAGGUGAGUGGAAUUCCGAGUGUAGAGGUGAAAUUCGUAGAUAUUCGGAGGAACACCAGUGGCGAAGGCGGCUCACUGGCUCGAUACUGACGCUGAGGUGCGAAAGCGUGGGGAGCAAACAGG